rnacentral:rRNA from 1 species
CAUGCCGUAAACGUUGGGCACUAGGUGUGGGGGACAUUCCACGUUUUCCGCGCCGUAGCUAACGCAUUAAGUGCCCCGCCUGGGGAGUACGGCCGCAAGGCUAAAACUCAAAGGAAUUGA